GAAACAUUUGAAGUGACUUAGUGGCGGACGGGUGAGUAACGCGUGGGUAACCUGCCCUGUACUGGGGGACAACAGUUGGAAACGGCUGCUAAUACCGCAUAAGCGCACAGCAUCGCAUGGUGCAGUGUGAAAAACUCCGGUGGUACAGGAUGGACCCGCGUCUGAUUAGCUAGUUGGUGGGGUAACGGCCUACCAAGGCGACGAUCAGUAGCCGGCCUGAGAGGGUGAACGGCCACAUUGGGACUGAGACACGGCCCAGACUCCUACGGGAGGCAGCAGUGGGGAAUAUUGCACAAUGGGCGCAAGCCUGAUGCAGCGACGCCGCGUGAGUGAUGAAGUAUUUCGGUAUGUAAAGCUCUAUCAGCAGGGAAGAAAAUGACGGUACCUGACUAAGAAGCACCGGCUAAAUACGUGCCAGCAGCCGCGGUAAUACGUAUGGUGCAAGCGUUAUCCGGAUUUACUGGGUGUAAAGGGAGCGUAGGCGGCAUGGCAAGUCAGAUGUGAAAGCCCGGGGCCCAACCCCGGAACUGCAUUUGAAACUGUCAGGCUAGAGUACCGGAGAGGUAAGCGGAAUUCCUAGUGUAGCGGUGAAAUGCGUAGAUAUUAGGAGGAACACCAGUG
rnacentral:rRNA from 1 species